GGUUGCGAUCAUACCAGCACUAAUGCACCGGAUCCCAUCAGAACUCCGCAGUUAAGCGUGCUUGGGCGAGAGUUAGUACUAGGAUGGGUGACCCCCUGGGAAGUCCUCGUGUUGCAACCC
rnacentral:rRNA from 1 species